rnacentral:rRNA from 1 species
UACGUAGGGUGCGAGCGUUGUCCGGAUUUAUUGGGCGUAAAGAGCGUGUAGGCGGCUUUACAGGUCCGUUGUGAAAACUCGAGGCUCAACCUCGAGACGCCGGUGGAAACCGUAAGGCUAGAGUCCGGAAGAGGAGAGUGGAAUUCCUGGUGUAGCGGUGAAAUGCGCAGAUAUCAGGAGGAACACCCGUGGCGAAAGCGGCUCUCUGGGACGGUACUGACGCUGAGGAGCGAAAGCGUGGGUAGCAAACAGG